UGCAGUCGAGCGGGGGAAGGUAGCUUGCUACUGGACCUAGCGGCGGACGGGUGAGUAAUGCUUAGGAAUCUGCCUAUUAGUGGGGGACAACAUCUCGAAAGGGAUGCUAAUACCGCAUACGUCCUACGGGAGAAAGCAGGGGAUCUUCGGACCUUGCGCUAAUAGAUGAGCCUAAGUCGGAUUAGCUAGUUGGUGGGGUAAAGGCCUACCAAGGCGACGAUCUGUAGCGGGUCUGAGAGGAUGAUCCGCCACACUGGGACUGAGACACGGCCCAGACUCCUACGGGAGGCAGCAGUGGGGAAUAUUGGACAAUGGGGGGAACCCUGAUCCAGCCAUGCCGCGUGUGUGAAGAAGGCCUUAUGGUUGUAAAGCACUUUAAGCGAGGAGGAGGCUACUUUAGUUAAUACCUAGAGAUAGUGGACGUUACUCGCAGAAUAAGCACCGGCUAACUCUGUGCCAGCAGCCGCGGUAAUACAGAGGGUGCGAGCGUUAAUCGGAUUUACUGGGCGUAAAGCGUGCGUAGGCGGCUUAUUAAGUCGGAUGUGAAAUCCCCGAGCUUAACUUGGGAAUUGCAUUCGAUACUGGUGAGCUAGAGUAUGGGAGAGGAUGGUAGAAUUCCAGGUGUAGCGGUGAAAUGCGUAGAGAUCUGGAGGAAUACCGAUGGCGAAGGCAGCCAUCUGGCCUAAUACUGACGCUGAGGUACGAAAGCAUGGGGAGCAAACAGGAUUAGAUACCCUGGUAGUCCAUGCCGUAAACGAUGUCUACUAGCCGUUGGGGCCUUUGAGGCUUUAGUGGCGCAGCUAACGCGAUAAGUAGACCGCCUGGGGAGUACGGUCGCAAGACUAAAACUCAAAUGAAUUGACGGGGGCCCGCACAAGCGGUGGAGCAUGUGGUUUAAUUCGAUGCAACGCGAAGAACCUUACCUGGCCUUGACAUACUAGAAACUUUCCAGAGAUGGAUUGGUGCCUUCGGGAAUCUAGAUACAGGUGCUGCAUGGCUGUCGUCAGCUCGUGUCGUGAGAUGUUGGGUUAAGUCCCGCAACGAGCGCAACCCUUUUCCUUACUUGCCAGCAUUUCGGAUGGGAACUUUAAGGAUACUGCCAGUGACAAACUGGAGGAAGGCGGGGACGACGUCAAGUCAUCAUGGCCCUUACGGCCAGGGCUACACACGUGCUACAAUGGUCGGUACAAAGGGUUGCUACACAGCGAUGUGAUGCUAAUCUCAAAAAGCCGAUCGUAGUCCGGAUUGGAGUCUGCAACUCGACUCCAUGAAGUCGGAAUCGC
rnacentral:rRNA from 1 species